rnacentral:rRNA from 1 species
UCUGGGAUAAGCGCUGGAAACGGCGUCUAAUACUGGAUAUGUGACGUGACCGCAUGGUCUGCGUUUGGAAAGAUUUUUCGGUUGGGGAUGGGCUCGCGGCCUAUCAGCUUGUUGGUGAGGUAAUGGCUCACCAAGGCGUCGACGGGUAGCCGGCCUGAGAGGGUGACCGGCCACACUGGGACUGAGACACGGCCCAGACUCCUACGGGAGGCAGCAGUGGGGAAUAUUGCACAAUGGGCGAAAGCCUGAUGCAGCAACGCCGCGUGAGGGAUGACGGCCUUCGGGUUGUAAACCUCUUUUAGCAGGGAAGAAGCGAAAGUGACGGUACCUGCAGAAAAAGCGCCGGCUAACUACGUGCCAGCAGCCGCGGUAAUACGUAGGGCGCAAGCGUUAUCCGGAAUUAUUGGGCGUAAAGAGCUCGUAGGCGGUUUGUCGCGUCUGCUGUGAAAUCCCGAGGCUCAACCUCGGGCCUGCAGUGGGUACGGGCAGACUAGAGUGCGGUAGGGGAGAUUGGAAUUCCUGGUGUAGCGGUGGAAUGCGCAGAUAUCAGGAGGAACACCGAUGGCGAAGGCAGAUCUCUGGGCCGUAACUGACGCUGAGGAGCGAAAGGGUGGGGAGCAAACAGGCUUAGAUACCCUGGUAGUCCACCCCCGUAAACGUUGGGAACUAGUUGUGGGGUCCAUUCCACGGAUUCCGUGACGCAGCUAACGCAUUAGGUUCCCCGCCCGGGGGGAGUACGGCCGCAAGGGCUAAAAACUCAAAGGGAAUUUGACGGGG